GUCUCCAUCUAUGACACUGCUGCAACAAGUUCCCCCUCGACUUGUGUUUCACUUUUUAUCAGCCAAUGCAAGAUUGUGACAGAUUCAAUUCAUAUACAAGCUAGGAAUAGGAUCCUCUAAAUGAAGCAAGCCAGCCGGCAAUGGUCAAGUUAGGAGGAGAGCACGCCAUUCCCAUGUGAGGCAUUACAUUUCCUCAACCCACGUUCAAAGCAUCCGAAUGGAGUUCCCAUCGAAUUCACAAAUGGGAAAAGUGUCAAGUGCUGCGGCUAUACGCUAGGACGGACGGUGGCGCAUGUUUUGCAGAAACAGGAAGGCAGGAGACCGAUCAGACAAAGCAGCACGAGCCCGAGUGAGGCUGUUCUACGCAAAGAAAGGGUGGAGGGAUUCAUCGCCCCUUCUCAAAGGGAGUCUUAACAUUUUAUCUGACAGGACUGAAUUCAUGCAGCUUAUACAUCCAACGGUCACCAAUAUUUGUAUUGUACUGGAAUAAUAAUAAUAAUAAUAUCAAGAAAUUAUAAGCAUAAAUAUAAAAAUAAUAAAGAAUUGGGGGCAAAAAUGAAAAAUCUGGACGUACAGUAGAGUGGAAGAAUCAAUGGGGGAAUCCCUAGCUUCCUUCUGGACCAACCAAACCCAAACAACCAACUGAGUCAAGAGAGAACCCAGAAGGCAGCCUCCCUCCGAGUCACAAGUAUUCGAGUUGCAGCACCACCGCCCCAUAUCGCUGUCCUACCAUCGUCCUCCAGGCAGUACCCAACGCCAUCCAUCCAUCACUAUAAUUAAGCUCCCUCCCUCCCACAGUCUUCUACCUCCUUAACAACUAACUCUUCACUGCAUCUCGCACCCGAUUCCUUUCCCAUUCUGCUCUCUCACUUUCUAUACAUCCCUUCUAUCGUUUUGGAAUCAAAUCAAACCAUCAAUUCAAUCCUCUACUCCAUCUC
rnacentral:lncRNA from 1 species